rnacentral:rRNA from 1 species
UACGGAGGGAGCGAGCGUUGUUCGGAAUUACUGGGCGUAAAGCGUAUGUAGGCGGUUUUUUAAGACAGAUGUGAAAUCCCAGAGCUUAACUUUGGAACUGCAUUUGUGACUGGAAGACUCGAGUAUCGGAGAGGUUGGCGGAAUUCCUAGUGUAGCGGUGACAUGCGCAGAUAUUAGGAGGAACACCGAUGGCGUAAGCAGCCAACUGGACGAUUACUGCCGCUGAGAUACGAAAGUGUGGGGAGCAAACAGG